rnacentral:rRNA from 1 species
GACGAACCGUGCGACCGUUGUUCGGAAUCACUGGGCUUAAAGGGCGCGUAGGCGGCUUGCCAAGUCGGGGGUGAAAUCCGGCAGCUUAACUGUCGAAGUGCCUUCGAUACUGGCAAGCUCGAGGGAGGUAGGGGUCUGUGGAACUUCUGGUGGAGCGGUGAAAUGCGUUGAUAUCAGAAGGAACGCCGGUGGCGAAAGCGACGGACUGGACCUCUUCUGACGCUGAGGCGCGAAAGCUAGGGGAGCAAACGGG